UACGAGAGGCCCAAACGUUAUUCGGAUUUACUGGGCUUAAAGAGUUCGUAGGCGGCGCAGAAAGUAGGGUGUGAAAGCCCUCGGCUCAACCGAGGAAUUGCGCUCUAAACUACUGUGCUUGAGGAAGCUAGAGGUGAGCGGAACUGAUGGUGGAGCGGUGAAAUGCGUUGAUAUCAUCAGGAACACCGGAGGCGAAGGCGGCUCACUGGGGCUUUUCUGGACUGCUGAGGAACGAA
rnacentral:rRNA from 1 species